AUGUCCCUACGGGGCGCAGCAGUGAGGAAUAUUGGUCAAUGGGCGCGAGCCUGAACCAGCCAAGUCGCGUGAGGGAUGACGGCCCUACGGGUUGUAAACCUCUUUUGUCGGGGAGCAAAUUCCGCCACGUGUGGCGGAGUCGAGAGUACCCGAAGAAAAAGCAUCGGCUAACUCCGUGCCAGCAGCCGCGGUAAUACGGAGGAUGCGAGCGUUAUCCGGAUUUAUUGGGUUUAAAGGGUGCGUAGGCGGUCCGGAAAGUCAGCGGUAAAAGCCCGGGGCUCAACCCCGGCGAGCCGUUGAAACUG
rnacentral:rRNA from 1 species